rnacentral:rRNA from 1 species
CCCGCUGAACUUAAGCAUAUCAAUAAGCGGAGGAAAAGAAACUAACAAGGAUUCCCCUAGUAACUGCGAGUGAAGCGGGAAGAGCUCAAAUUUGAAAUCUGGCAGCUCUCUGAACUGUCCGAGGUGUACUCUAGAGAAGUGUUACGUGCGCUGGACCGUGUACAAGUCUCCGGGAAUGGAGCGUCACAGAGGGCGAGAAUCCCGUCUUUCACACGAACCGCCUGCAUGUUUAUGGUGCGCUCUCAAAGAGUCGAGUUGUUUGCGCUCGCAGCUCAAAAUGGGGGGAAAAUCCCUUCUAAGGCUAAAUAUUGCCAAGAGACCGAUAGCGAACAAGUACCGUGAGGGAGAGAUAAAAAGACUUUUGGAAAGAGAGGUAGACAGUCCGUGUGGUUGCUGAAAGGGAAACGCUUGAGGUCGGUCGAGUCGCCUAGAAAUCAACCUAGCUCUUGCUUGGGGAACUUUCUGGUUAAUGGGUCAGCAUCAUUUUUUUGCAGGGAGAAAGUCGUACGGACAUGUGCCCUGUUGUUCAGGUGAAUAUCACCGUGCGUCGCAUGACGACGGUAGAGAUUGAGAAACGCAGACAUGCCGCGCAAGGACGGGGCUCGACCACGUGUCGCUGCUGCGGACGCUGGCAUAAUGGCUGUAAUCGACCCGUCUUGAAACACGG